ACUUGGUGUUUCCCCAAGUCUCCAGCCUCAUCUCUUGCCUCUCUUUCUCCUUCUCCCUUCUCUCUUAGUAUAAUGCUUUUCCUUCAGUUUCCUUUGCACACACCAUGCCCUUUUCAUACCCUGCCUUUUCACAGGCUGUUCUCAGAUGCAGAGUGCUUUUCAUUAACUGUUGAAUGAAUGAGUGAAUGAGUGACUGAAUAAGGUAUAUUGGAGAGUCAGGAUAGGAACCUGGUCAGGAGAAAGAUUAGAAGUAGUAAGGGGAUUAGGGAACUAAUCACAAAACUAUAAUAGAUGAUGCCGUUUUUUUUUUUUUUUUUGUAAGUUUGUUUUUAAUUGUUUUGUUUUGUUUUUGAGAAACUUUUUUUUUCAUUUUUAAAAGUUUUAUUGAAGUAUAGUUAAUUAACAAGGCUCUGAUAAUUUAUGCUGUACAACAAAACGAACCAGUCAUACAUAUACACAUAUACAUCCUGAUUCUUUUCUCACAUAGAUUAUCACAGAAUACCGGGUAAAGUUCUCUGUGCUGUCUAGCAUGUCCCCGCUGGCCAGUCAUUCCAUAUACCUCAGUGUGAAUAUGCCAAUCCCAAAUCCCCAUUCCAUCCCUCUCACCCACCAACCUGUCCCCUUUGGUAAGUUUUUUUUUUUCAAAGUCUGUGGGUCUGUUUCUCUUCUGCAAAUAAGUUCAUUUGUAUCCUUUUUUAAAUGAUUCCACAUAUAGGUGAUAUAUGAUAUCUGUCUUUCACUACAUUGACUAACUUCACUUAUGAUAGUUUCUGGGUCUAUCCAUGUUGCUGCAAAUGGCAUUAUUUCAUUCUUUUUUACUGCUGAGUAAUUCUAUUGUGUAUACGUUCUACUUCUUAUUUAUCCACUCCUUUGUCAAUGGACAUUUAGGUUGCUUCCAUGUCUUGGCUAUUUUUUUUGUAGCAUUUUUUAUUACUCAAUUACUUGGCUAUUGUUAAUAGUGGUGCAGUUAACACUGGGGUGCAUUUAUCUUUUUGAAUUAUGGUUUUCUCUGGAUAGAUGCCCAGGAGUGGGAUUGCUGGUAGUUCUAUUUCUAGUUUUUUGAGGAACUUCUAUAUUGUUUUUCAUAGUGGUUGCACCAAUGCACAUUCCUGCCAACAGUGUAAAAAGGUUCCCUUUUUUCCAUACCCUCUCCAGCAUUUAUUAUUUGUAGACUUUUUGAUGAUGGCCAUUCUGGCUGGUAUAAGGUGUACCUUAUAGUAGUUUUGAUUUGCAUUUCUCUAAUAAUUAGUGAUUUUUGAGCAUCUUUUCAUAUUUUUUUUUACCAUAUGUAUGUCUUCUUUGGAGAAAUGUUUAUUUAGAUCUGCCAGUUUUUUUAUUGGGUGGUUUGUUUUUUGGUAUUGAGCUGCAGGAGUUGUUUUUUAUAUUUUGGAGAUUAAUCCUUUGUCAGUUGUUUCAUUUGCAAAUAUAUUUUUUUCAUUCUGUGGGCUGUCUUUUUGUUUUGUUUAGGGUUUCCUUUGCUGUGCAAACACUUGUAAGUUUAAUUACAUCCCAUUGGUGAAUUUUUGUUUUUAUUGUCAUUACUUUAGGAGGUGGAUCUGAGAAGACAUUGCUGAGACAGUGUUUGGACUAUGUUUUCCUCUGAGAGUUUUAUAGUAUCUGGUUUUAUAUUUAGGUCUUUAAUCCAUUUUGAGUUUAUUUUUGUGUAUGAUGUUAGAGAGUGUUCUAACUUCAUUCUUUUGCAUGUAGCUGUCCAGCUUUCCCAGCGCCACUUAUUGAAGAGACUGCCUUUUCUCCAUUGUGUAUUCUUGCACUAUUCUUUGUCAUAGAUUAAUUAGCCAUAGGUGCUUGGAUGUAUUUCUGGGCUUUCUGUCCUGUUCCAUUGAUCUAUAUUUCUGUUUUUGUGCCAGUACCAUACUGUUUUAAUGACUGUAUCUUUGUAGUAUAGUCUGAAGCCAGGGAGCCUGAUUCCUCCAUCUCCAUUUUUCUUUCUCGGGAUGGCUUUGGAUAUUCGAGGUCUUUUGUGUUUCCAAACAAAUUUUAAAAUAUUUUGUUCUAAUUCUGUGAAAAAUUGCUAUUGGUAAUUUUAUAGGAAUUGCAUUGACUCUGUAGAUUGCCUUGGAUAAUAUAGUCAUUUUGACAGUAUUGAUUCUUCCAGUCCAAGAGCAUGGUAUAUCUUUUCAUCUUUUUGUGUCAUCUUUGGUUUCUUUCAUCAGUAACUUAUAGUUUUCAGAGCACAGGUUUUUGUUGCAUCCAUAACAUAAAGAAAUUCCCAGGCCAGGGAUCAAACCUGUGCCACAGCAGUAACAAUUCCAAAUCCUUAACCCACCAAGCCACCAGGGAACUUCAUUUCUUGUUCUUCUUUUAAGUGUCAGCAUUAGUGCCACAUUCUCUAGGAAGCUUUUCUAUUCCCAAGCUAGUAAAAACCCCUGCUAUAAGCUAUGGAACUCCCUACAUGCAUUUCCCUUCUGUAAUACUCACCACACUUUGAAGACACACACUUUUAUAUCUUUCUUAUCUGGUUUUAUAUUCUUAGUACACAGCAUUGUAAACAGUACUGGUAGUUGUUCUCUGUAUUUAUUGACUUAAAUUACACAUAGUUACUCCAGGACACAUAGUUGAUUUGUUUUUCUUAUUGGUUGGGUGUUUUAUUUGUCUAGCCAUUUGUUUCUUGC
rnacentral:lncRNA from 1 species